UAGGGAAUCAUCGGCAAUUGACGAAAGUCUGACCGAGCAACGCCGCGUGAGUGAAGAAUGUUUUCGGAUCGUAAAACUCUGUUGUUAGAGAAGAACAAGGACGUUAGUAACUGAACGUCCCCUGACGGUAUCUAACCAGAAAGCCACGGCUAACUACGUGCCAGCAGCCGCGGUAAUACGUAGGUGGCAAGCGUUGUCCGGAUUUAUUGGGCGUAAAGCGAGCGCAGGCGGUUUCUUAAGUCUGAUGUGAAAGCCCCCGGCUCAACCGGGGAGGGUCAUUGGAAACUGGGAGACUUAGGUGCAGAAGAGGAGAGUGGAAUUCCAUGUGUGGCGGUGAAAUGCGUAGAUAUAUGGAGGAACACCAGUGGCGAAGGCGGCUCUCUGGUCUGUAACUGACGCUGAGGCUCGAAAGCGUGGGGAGCAAACAGG
rnacentral:rRNA from 1 species